rnacentral:rRNA from 1 species
UACGUAGGGGGCAAGCGUUGUCCGGAUUUAUUGGGCGUAAAGAGCGUGUAGGCGGCUGGGUAGGUCCGUUGUGAAAACUCGAGGCUCAACCUCGAGACGCCGAUGGAAACCCUCCAGCUAGAGUCCGGAAGAGGAGAAUGGAAUUCCCGGUGUAGCGGUGAAAUGCGCAGAUAUCGGGAAGAACACCCGUGGCGAAGGCGGUUCUCUGGGACGGUACUGACGCUGAGACGCGAAAGCGUGGGGAGCGAACAGG